rnacentral:pre_miRNA from 1 species
AGAAUACUCCCUCCGAUCCAUAUUAAUUGUCAAAAUAGUACAUGUAUCUAGACGCUUUUUAGCCAUAGAUACAUCCAUAUUUGGGCAAAUUUGAGACAAUUAAUAUGGAUCGGAGGGAGUAGUUU